rnacentral:rRNA from 1 species
UUGAUCCUGGCACAGAAUGAACGCGGGAGGCAUGCCUUACACAUGCAAGUCGAACGGCAGCACGGGAGCAAUCCUGGUGGCGAGUGGCGAACGGGUGAGUAAUACAUCGGAACGUGCCCAAUCGUGGGGGAUAACGCAGCGAAAGCUGUGCUAAUACCGCAUAAGAUCUACGGAUGAAAGCAGGGGAUCGCAAGACCUUGCGCGAAUGGAGCGGCCGAUGGCAGAUUAGGUAGUUGGUGAGGUAAAGGCUCACCAAGCCUUCGAUCUGUAGCUGGUCUGAGAGGACGACCAGCCACACUGGGACUGAGACACGGCCCAGACUCCUACGGGAGGCAGCAGUGGGGAAUUUUGGACAAUGGGCGAAAGCCUGAUCCAGCCAUGCCGCGUGCAGGAUGAAGGCCUUCGGGUUGUAAACUGCUUUUGUACGGAACGAAGCGGCCUUUUCUAAUAAAGAGGGCUAAUGANGGGUACCGUAAGAAAUAAGCACCGGCUAACUAC